rnacentral:rRNA from 1 species
UACGAAGGGGCUAGCGUUGUUCGGAAUUACUGGGCGUAAAGCGCGUGUAGGCGGGUCCUUAAGUCGGGGGUGAAAGCCCGGGGCUCAACCUCGGAACUGUCUUCGAUACUGAGGACCUGGAGUCUGGGAGAGGUGAGCGGAAUUCCGAGUGUAGAGGUGAAAUUCGUAGAUAUUCGGAGGAACACCAGAGGCGAAGGCGGCUCACUGGACCAGUACUGACGCUGAGACGCGAAAGCGUGGGGAGCAAACAGG